ACCUGUGAUGAAGCAAGGGUGGGACAGGGAAUAUUCAUUGAGAGAGGAAGAUUUCUGAAAGUUGUUAAGAAUCAACAGGGGAAUCACUAGCUGCAAAACGUCUCCAAAUGGACCAGAGUGAGUUGCAGAACCAGAAGCAGCUUGGCUUGCUAAGGAGAAAUUGAUGUUGUCCUCAGCACUCAUUGACUUGUCUGGUUUUCA
rnacentral:lncRNA from 1 species